rnacentral:rRNA from 1 species
UACAGAGGUCCCGAGCGUUGUUCGGAUUCACUGGGCGUAAAGGGUGCGUAGGUGGUGAGGUAAGUCGGAUGUGAAAUCUCCGGGCUCAACCCGGAAAUGGCAUUGGAAACUUCCUUGCUGGAGGAUUUGAGGGGGGAUUGGAAUACUUGGUGUAGCAGUGAAAUGCGUAGAUAUCAAGUGGAACACCAGUGGCGAAGGCGAAUCCCUGGAAAAUACCUGACACUGAGGCACGAAAGCUAGGGGAGCAAACAGG